CGUUAUCAUUAACUGAAUUCGAGUUGAUGGAAUUUUUGGAUGUGGGAUUGGUUGAAGUAACACUGGCACUAGCACAUAUUAGUGAAAUUUCAAGUCCGCCCUAUCUGACUGUAGGCUUUGUCAUUGCUGGAGCAGUGCAUCCAAAAUGAAUACUUGGCUGGCUAUUUUCCCACACGCUUAAAGGGACUUGAUGUGGCCCUUUGUGGUGGAAUACCAUUUGGUGUUGUAACAGAGUUGGUUGGUCCUGCAGGGACUGGCAAAACACAGAAUGAUAGAAAUGGGGGUUAAUAAUUUCCUGGAAAUUUUCACACUGAAGGAAUAACGAAAGAGAUGGCAGGUGGAAUCCUAUUUUUGCAGCCAGCAUCAUUAACUAAAUUCACUGAAAGGUGCAGAAUGGUACCAUCUUUUAUGCCUUUUUCCCAAGUACAGGUCAAACUAUCUAUAUAAUUGGAAGGAAAAGAAAAUGGUCGGAUACACUAGUGGAUAAUCUGGAGAGAGCAUACUGAAUGAAGACAACUUCCACUGAGUCUGUUUUGUCAUUUGCUUCAAUACUUGGACUAGAACUCUCAAUGGAUAAUGAAAAUCGAUAACUUUGAUCAUAUACUUAUAAAAUGACAUUAACCAAUUGGAAAUAUUGAGGGUUCAUGUGUAAAUUUUAUAUUCCUUCGUAAUUGAUGCCUGAGAUCAAUGAACUGCGCCAUGCUAUCCAGAAUUCAGUAGUCCAAAUAAUCUCAGCAUAGUAGGUUACCGUGAACAUGAUAUAGUAUUUUUUGGUGAAUGGUAUGAAAGCAGUGGUUGUCAAACCCAUGCACAUCCACAGGAGUACUUUCCUCAUAAGCUGAAUGUUCUUACAAUGCACCUCCCAAGAGUCAUUUUAGUUGGGCUAAACAGCCAACUAGUAGUAGGCAUUGUACACCAGGAUUUAUGGUCCAUGAUGUGAUGGAAUUAAUUGUCAACUGUGAGAUCCCACGAGAACGAGAAAGUGGAUACAGUUUUUUCAGUGUGGUUUAGGAAUACUAUGUAACUGGUUGAUGUCUUUUUGGACAAUGGCUUUAGACCAUGUAUUGCGCCUGUGGGCCCUAUUGAGCAGGUCACGUUCGCAGCAUUUUCCUCAACCUUGGGCGUGACAUCUGGAUCAAUUGGCGACUGAUUAUUUAGUUUUCAGACAGUUCUGUAAUCAAGGGAGAAAGAGAAUGAAGGAAAAAUUAACAAGAAUAAAAUUGGAGCUUUAUCACAUUCUUGGCUAUAGCUUGUAUAGAUUCUUGUAAACUUCCUUUACACUAUUUCUGACUUUCUUAUAUUCAGUGAGAUGAUUAACUUGUCAUGGGUCUGAUUUUUUUAUCAUACAAUUAUGUUUUUAAAUCAGCUUGCAGCAGAUCUAUGUUUCAGUCCAAAAUCAUGCAAAGCUUCUUAUAAUCAAUAGCAUGACUGCUCUUGUUUCUGGGUGAACUCCUUUACUUCCGUUUCAACGUGUGUUCACAAGAUUUUUAGGCCUCAA